rnacentral:lncRNA from 1 species
GGUGAACACAAAGGAAAAAUUAGAGGUGACUCAUUCUAUUGAGUUAAAAAGCAAUGGAUUUUUGACUGUUGGGAUAUUCUACUUGUGGAAACGUCACACUAGAUUGCAACAUAGAUAAGUUCAUUCCUGGACUUUGUCUCUAAAAGCUUGCACUGCUGCAAUGACAUUUAACGAUGUGGGAGACAGGUGAAGUCCCAUGGGCACAAGACCAUGCCUCUGACCUCUCCAAAGUGCUGCUAUGGGAAAUGUCAGCAUGGUUUGCUGUGGCUCUUGGUCAAAAUAAACUCCUGCAAAUGGAAACGAUGUCUGAGAUCAACUCUGUCCAGAAACAUGAGGCUAAUUUUCACCCUUCCAUCUGCAGCAUAUGACCAUAUUCGUUCUCAGUGCUGCAUAGAAAUAUUUUGAAAGUUUUAACCUUCAGAAGUUCAAAAAUGUCAUGAAGUUGUCUCAAGAUAAUGAUCACUCACUGCUUACUGCCACAUCCAUUGGAGCUCUUGAAAGUCUGAAGGGAGGACAGUAGAGGAUGAAGAAAUGAAGAUGAGUCAAGAGUCAGAAAUCUGAGGUCGGGUGGAGCCCAUUCUCCUGAUGAAAGAAAAGACUGCCCAGCAACUGCAGUGCAUUUAUUUACAAAUGAGCAAAAGGCUGAUUUUGGAGGGAGCCCCUCUACUUACAGGAGAAAGGACUGCCCAGUAACUGCAGUGCAUUUACCUAUAUAAUCAGCAGAAGAUGUUUACAGAGAAUAUUAUGGGAAAGGUAAGAUCCAGAACAGGAAGGAUAUCUAAUCU